rnacentral:rRNA from 1 species
CAGCCGCCGCGGUAAUUCGGGGGGUGCAAGCGUUGUUCGGAAUUAUUGGGCGUAAAGAGCGUGUAGGCGGCUUGACAAGUCAGAUGUGAAAUCCCUGGGCUUAACCUAGGAAGUGCAUUUGAAACUGUCAGGCUUGAGUAAGGGAGAGGAAAGUGGAAUUCCUGGUGUAGAGGUGAAAUUCGUAGAUAUCAGGAGGAACACCGGUGGCGAAUGCGACUUUCUGGCCCUAUACUGACGCUGAGACGCGAAAGCGUGGGUAGCAAACAGGAUUAGAUACCCUGGUAGUCCACGCUGUAAACGACGUUCACUAGGUGUUGGGGGUAUUGACCCUUUCAGUGCCGCAGCUAACGCAUUAAGUGAACCGCCUGGGGAGUACGGUCGCAAGAUUAAAACUCAAAGGAAUUGACGG